AUUGAACGCUGGCGGCAGGCUUAACACAUGCAAGUCGAGCGGGGGAAGGUAGCUUGCUACCGGACCUAGCGGCGGACGGGUGAGUAAUGCUUAGGAAUCUGCCUAUUAGUGGGGGACAACAUCUCGAACGGGAUGCUAAUACCGCAUACGUCCUACGGGAGAAAGAAGGGGACCUUCGGACCUUGCGCUAAUAGAUGAGCCUAAGUCGGAUUAGCUAGUUGGUGGGGUAAAGGCCUACCAAGGCGACGAUCUGUAGCUGGUCUGAGAGGAUGAUCCGCCACACUGGGACUGAGACACGGCCCAGACUCCUACGGGAGGCAGCAGUGGGGAAUAUUGGACAAUGGGGGGAACCCUGAUCCAGCCAUGCCGCGUGUGUGAAGAAGGCCUUAUGGUUGUAAAGCACUUUAAGCGAGGAGGAGGCUACUCUAGUUAAUACCUAGGGAUAGUGGACGUUACUCGCAGAAUAAGCACCGGCUAACUCUGUGCCAGCCGCCGCGGUAA
rnacentral:rRNA from 1 species